UCGUUUUUUUUAGGUUUUUUUGGUUUGGUUUUUCUUUUGUAUCUCACCACGUACGUAAAACAAACAGCCAACGAGGCUCCCUAAAUCUCGAUCUGUUUCAUCUCAGCCUCCAGCCCCGAGAGGAGCCGCCGCCGCCGCCGGGAGGAGACGCCCCAGUCCCGAGAGGAGCCGCCGCAGCCGCCGGGGAACGAGGUCGCCGCCGCCUCCAGGUCGCCGCCGUCACGCACCGCCUCCUCCAGGUCGCCGCCGUCACACACUGCCCCAGGUCCGUUGAUCUCUCUCCUCCUCUCCACUCCUCACUGUCAGCCCCGCACAGCUCUUCCUCCACGGCGGGGAUUCAGUCUAUGGCAUUCAAGAGAGGUGGCUGCAGCCGCCAUGCUGCCGAUCCGGUCCUUGCUGUUGGAUCCGGACCUCUCCACCCCUCCUCCCGGUCCGAUCCAAUGGCGUUCGCACGACGUCGAUCUCCCGGAUGGCGUGAGGUCCUAGCGGCAACGUCAGGCCCCUUGCGAUUGGGGUCAAUUUGAGGUGGCUCUGGUGGAAAUGUGGAACACAUCCCAUUGUUACAGGGGCUCCCGAGGCGACAUCCAGUUGCUCUGUGUGCAGGGGUUAUUUUCACCUCUGUUUGCUUUUGCGUUUGUUGUCCGCGCUCAAUCUCUGUCGCUGGUGGUGCAAGCUCCGCAUGCACUUGUCCGAGCUUGCCGAGCAGUCUGCACUGAAGCAAACUCACUGUCGUCCUUUUCCUUUUCAGUUUGAGAUAGACAGAAGUACUUCCAAACUUAUUUGAAUUUUAGUUUGUGUAUGUGUCAUUCGUUUGUUGUAGUUGUUGCUGUUCAAAUCUCAGCACCAUUACAUAGUACCAGCCAUUCUCGCUGACACUAACAGUACUUGGAGAUUUACCAACAAUGGCAGUAGACAUCUUCCUAAACUCCAUUCACACAGCCGGCCCCCAAUUUGUUUCCAUUCCCUGACAUGCAUAAGAUAUCUGUGAUAUUUGCCGAAUUAUUAUUUGUAGGUUUGAAGUACCAAGGCACAAUGGCUGAUAGGGCACUGGAGGAACUGCACACCAUGGUUCAGACACCAACUUCCCUGAUGCGACCAACUCACCGGUUCAGUGAGCAUUGUAUCCUCUUACUGUUGCCAUAAUUACAUGCAUUUCACUUUUGCAUUAUAUGUGUACUAUUGCAUGGUAGUUGAACACGAAUUUGGGUUACUUGACAUCGUAAAAUAUGGUGGCUACUCUUGGAUCCGGUGAAUCUGGUGGUUCUGUUUAUAUUAUGUAUUGUGGGACUAUUGAGUUCACAACGCUUUCCAAAUACUCAUAUGUGAUUUCUUUUUUAUUUAUACUCGUGCAGAAAAAUAAAGAGCAUCUUGAUUCUUGUAUUGUUGAAGGCAGCUGUAGCUAAGGCUGGUUACACUAGAAGAUUUUUUUUGUCUAUACAUAGUUCAUGAUUCAGCCCUUGUGUACUAAUUCAUGUGUGACGGUUGGUCAUUGGACUGGAUGUUGCUGCUUCUGAAUAUUACGGUGAAAAGGAUCAGACUCAUCAACCUCGAUUUUCUUGUGUCUUGAAAUGCAGGGGAACGACAUUGUAAGCUUGGUUAGUUUGAUGUCCUACGGAGAAGCAAAAUUGGUCGUGCCCACCGCCAGAAGAUUCAUCUUUGUACUCUCUUCUCCAUUUAUCAGUGCAACGAGAGGCAGAGUUAGUCAUGGUGAUGAUCAUAUUGUAUUCUUAUGAUGCUUGCAGACUGGGAGUGUAUUUAUACUUCAUGCUUAUGAGUUAUGAUGAAUCAUUUCUAUGGCAUUA